rnacentral:piRNA from 1 species
UCGCCACUUGAUACUCUAUGACAAUGGCCUU